AUUGAACGCUGGCGGCAUGCUUUACACAUGCAAGUCGAACGGUAACAGGGAGCUUGCUCCGCUGACGAGUGGCGAACGGGUGAGUAAUGCGUCGGAACGUGCCGAGUAGUGGGGGAUAACGCAGCGAAAGUUGUGCUAAUACCGCAUACGUACUGAGGUAGAAAGUGGGGGACCUUCGGGCCUCACGCUAUUCGAGCGGCCGACGUCUGAUUAGCUAGUAGGUGAGGUAAAGGCUCACCUAGGCGACGAUCAGUAGCGGGUCUGAGAGGAUGAUCCGCCACACGGGGACUGAGACACGGCCCAGACUCCUACGGGAGGCAGCAGUGGGGAAUUUUGGACAAUGGGCGAAAGCCUGAUCCAGCCAUGCCGCGUGUCUGAAGAAGGCCUUCGGGUUGUAAAGGACUUUUGUCGGGGAGGAAAUCCCCAGCGCUAAUACCGCUGGGGGAUGACAGUACCUGAAGAAUAAGCACCGGCUAACUACGUGCCAGCCGCCGCGGUAAUAC
rnacentral:rRNA from 1 species